AUUGAACGCUGGCGGCAUGCUUUACACAUGCAAGUCGAACGGUAACAGGCCGCAAGGUGCUGACGAGUGGCGAACGGGUGAGUAAUGCAUCGGAACGUGCCCAGUCGUGGGGGAUAACGCAGCGAAAGCUGUGCUAAUACCGCAUACGAUCUAUGGAUGAAAGCGGGGGACCGUAAGGCCUCGCGCGAUUGGAGCGGCCGAUGUCAGACUAGGUAGUUGGUGGGGUAAAGGCCUACCAAGCCGACGAUCUGUAGCUGGUCUGAGAGGACGACCAGACACACUGGGACUGAGACACGGCCCAGACUCCUACGGGAGUCAGCAGUGGGGAAUGUUGGACAAUGGGCGCAAGCCUGAUCCAGCAAUGCCGCGUGCAGGAAGAAGGCCUUCGGGUUGUAAACUGCUUUUGUACGGAACGAAACGGCCUGGGUUAAUACCCUGGGCUAAUGACGGUACCGUAAGAAUAAGCACCGGCUAACUACGUGCCAGCCGCCGCAGUAACAC
rnacentral:rRNA from 1 species